rnacentral:rRNA from 1 species
AUGGCCCACAUAUCAGAUAUUAAACUGAUAAGAACAGAUACUACACUUGAUCUUAGCCAAAAGGCCGAGAAAGGUAUGCUUCAAAAGGUUGCCGUCCGCCUCUUCUUAUUGCUCUCUCAGCUGCCCGUGCUGCUCGCACGGGCGAGGUGGUACUAA